rnacentral:rRNA from 1 species
AUACGUAGGGGGCGAGCGUUAUCCGGAUUUAUUGGGCGUAAAGCGUGUGUAGGCGGUUUGUUAAGUUUAAGAUUAAAGCCCGAGGCUUAACCUCGGUUCGUCUUAAAAACUGGCAGACUUGAGUGCAGUAGAGGCAAGUGGAAUUUCUAGUGUAGCGGUUAAAUGCGUAGAUAUUAGAAGGAACACCAGUGGCGAAGGGGGCUUGCUGGGCUGUUACUGACGCUGAGACACGAAAGCGUGGGGAGAAAAUAGGAUUAGAUACCCUAGUAGUCCACGCCGUAAACGAUGAGUACUAAGUGUCGGGUAACCGGUGCUGAAGUUAACACAUUAAGUACUCCGCCUGAGUAGUACGGUCGCAAGGCUGAAACUCAAAUGAAUUGACGGGG